UAGAACAAAUUUAUCUUCCCAUUUUACCCUUCAAGUUUCUUCUAAAUUGCGUCUCUCUCCCUUCUCUGUUCUUCCCAAAGUCAAGCUCUCACCUCUGUUUCUCUUCCAUAGAGCUCUGCAUCAAUGGCAUCUUCCAUCGCUCAGAUCUCUUUCUACCUUCUAAUUCUAACCUUUUUCUCAGAAACCCGCUUCGGUCUAUCUCUCAGGGACCUCAAAUCCGAUCCUAACCGUCCAUCCACCAUAGCCCAAUCAAUCACAGAUGUUCAUGACCUCCUCCCUAAGUACGGCCUCCCAAAGGGUCUGUUACCAGACAACGUAAAUUCCUACACUCUCUCUGAAGAUGGCAGCUUUGAGAUCUAUCUUGAAAGCCCAUGUUACGUGCACUUUGAUCAGUUGGUUUACUACAACAAGAAUAUUAAAGGGAAACUGAGUUACGGGUCAGUGUCUGAUGUGUCUGGGAUUCAAGCGAAGAAGCUUUUCAUUUGGGUCUCUGUGACUGGGAUUCAGGUUGAUCAAGGAUCUGACUCCGUUGAGUUUUAUGUUGGAGCUUUGUCUGAGAAACUGCCUGCUAAACAGUUUGAGGAUAUUCCUGUAUGUAAAAGCAAGGCCUGCCAAGGAACUUAUGUGGACUCAAUCUGAGGUUAUGAUAAUAAUAGUCAAGCUCCAGAAAGAUCAAGGCUUUAUAUAAGGUGAUGAUAUCUGCCAAAAGUACGUAGGUGAGGUGAGUUACUCCUAAGCUGAAUUUCCAGAGUUUGGAAUCUCACAUUCCUUGCGUCCAUAAGGUUCCAAGAUGCAGGCUUGUGUGUUUGCACAAUUUUUGGCGGAGGCCAUAUGAAUGCACUUGAGCUCUGAAUCCCAACUCUUGCUCCAAUCCUCUUUCUCUGUCUCACUACUAUCUAUGCUCUAAUUCUUAGGGCCAUUUCUCCUAUAUGUUGUGCUCAAAUUUUGACAGUUCAGGUCAAGUCGAAAGAAUGAAGAUAUCAACCCUAUGUUGGGCCUUUGCCUGGUACAGGAACUUCAAAUUACAGAUGAAAAGUUCUUUUUGAGGUGGUUCACUUCUGAGGAGCAAAACGCACAAGGAACUCACUGCAUGGAAGAAGAAUACAGUCGGCAGAUCUUUCGUUCUCCUCUUGCAGUCAUUUUAUGCUUCUUAUUGUUGCUUUUUCAAGUUGCGUCCAUACAAGUAGCCAAUAUAAGCAAAUAAAUGUGCAUAUGAAUUCUUGUCAGUAGUAAAAACAGAGAGAGAGAGAGAGAGAGAGAGAGAGAGAGUGGUGUUAUCUCUGUGUCACAACUACAGGCACCGAUGUAAACCUUGUGAGUAAUGAGUAAAUAUAUAAUGUAAAUUUCAUGCUUGUCAAUAAAUUAUUUUGUGGAUCUUUUAA